rnacentral:rRNA from 1 species
UACGGAGGAUGCGAGCGUUAUCCGGAUUUAUUGGGUUUAAAGGGUGCGUAGGCCGGCCGGCAAGUCAGCGGUAAAAUUGAGAGGCUCAACCUCUUCGAGCCGUUGAAACUGUCGGUCUUGAGUGAGCGAGAAGUAUGCGGAAUGCGUGGUGUAGCGGUGAAAUGCAUAGAUAUCACGCAGAACUCCGAUUGCGAAGGCAGCAUACCGGCGCUCAACUGACGCUGAAGCACGAAAGCGUGGGGAUCAAACAGG